UACGUAGGGUGCGAGCGUUAACCGGAAUUACUGGGCGUAAAGCGUGCGCAGGCGGUUCGUUGUGUCGGCGGUGAAAGCCCCGGGCUCAACCUGGGAAUGGCCGUUGAAACUGGCGAACUGGAGUGUGGCAGAGGGGGGUGGAAUUCCGCGUGUAGCAGUGAAAUGCGUAGAGAUGCGGAGGAACACCGAUGGCGAAGGCAGCCCCCUGGGCUGACACUGACGCUCAGGCACGAAAGCGUGGGGAGCAAACAGG
rnacentral:rRNA from 1 species